rnacentral:rRNA from 1 species
GGCGGCGUGCUUAACACAUGCAAGUCGAACGGUAAGGUCCCCUUCGGGGGACACACGAGUGGCGAACGGGUGAGUAACACGUGGGCAACCUGCCCCUCACAUCGGGAUAACCACCGGAAACGGUGGCUAAUACCGGAUACUCCGGCGAGAUCGCAUGGUCUUGCCGGGAAAGCUCCGGCGGUGAGGGAUGGGCCCGCGGCCCAUUAGCUUGUUGGUGGGGUAAUGGCCUACCAAGGCGACGAUGGGUAGCCGAGCUGAGAGGCUGAUCGGCCACACUGGGACUGAGACACGGCCCAGACUCCUACGGGAGGCAGCAGUGGGGAAUCUUGCGCAAUGGGCGAAAGCCUGACGCAGCAACGCCGCGUGCGGGAUGAAGGCCUUCGGGUUGUAAACCGCUUUCAGCAGGGAUGAAACUGACAGUACCUGCAGAAGAAGCCCCGGCUAACUACGUGCCAGCAGCCGCGGUAAUACGUAGGGGGCGAGCGUUAUCCGGAUUCAUUGGGCGUAAAGCGCGCGUAGGCGGCUUGCUAAGUCAGAUGUGAAAACCGGGGGCUCAACCCGCGGCCUGCAUCUGAAACUGGCAGGCUUGAGUCUGGUAGAGGAAAGUGGAAUUCCUGGUGUAGCGGUGAUAUGCGCAGAUAUCAGGAGGAACACCAGUGGCGAAGGCGGCUUUCUGGGCCACGACUGACGCUGAGGCGCGAAAGCUAGGGGAGCAAACAGGAUUAGAUACCCUGGUAGUCCUAGCUGUAAACGAUGGGCACUAGGUGUGGGGGGUCAUCGACUCCCUCCGUGCCGCAGCUAACGCAUUAAGUGCCCCGCC